GUAGGCAUAGUUUAACAAAAACAUUAGAUUGUGAUUCUAAAAUUGGAGGUUAAAACCCUGUUGCCCACC
rnacentral:tRNA from 1 species